GAUGAACGCUGGCGGCGUGCCUAAUACAUGCAAGUCGAGCGAACAGACGAGGAGCUUGCUCCUCUGACGUUAGCGGCGGACGGGUGAGUAGCACGUGGAUAACCUACCUAUAAGACUGGGAUAACUUCGGGAAACCGGAGCUAAUACCGGAUAAUAUAUUGAACCGCAUGGUUCAAUAGUGAAAGACGGUUUUGCUGUCACUUAUAGAUGGAUCCGCGCCGCAUUAGCUAGUUGGUAAGGUAACGGCUUACCAAGGCAACGAUGCGUAGCCGACCUGAGAGGGUGAUCGGCCACACUGAGACUGAGACACGGUCCAGACUCCUACGGGAGGCAGCAGUAGGGAAUCUUCCGCAAUGGGCGAAAGCCUGACGGAGCAACGUCGCGUGAGUGAUGAAGGUCUUCGGAUCGUAAAACUCUGUUAUUAGGGAAGAACAAAUGUGUAAGUAACUAUGCACGUCUUGACGGUACCUAAUCAGAAAGCCACGGCUAACUACGUG
rnacentral:rRNA from 1 species